rnacentral:rRNA from 1 species
UACGUAGGGUCCGAGCGUUGUCCGGAAUUACUGGGCGUAAAGAGCUCGUAGGUGGUUUGUCGCGUUGUUCGUGAAAACUCACAGCUCAACUGUGGGCGUGCGGGCGAUACGGGCAGACCUGAGUACUGCAGGGGAGACUGGAAUUCCUGGUGUAGCGGUGGAAUGCGCAGAUAUCAGGAGGAACACCGGUGGCGAAGGCGGCUUUCUGGCCUGUAACUGACGCUGAGGCGCGAAGGCUGGGGUAGCGAACAGG